CUCUCUCUCUCUGUGUUUGUGUGUGUGUGGCUAAGCAAUUAACUAUAAAAUGCAAUUUGGGUAUUAUUUACAAAAUUCUCAAAACAGAGAAGGUAUAUAGGAUAUUCUCAAAAAGAAAAGGUAUAUAGGCAGAGUUUACUUUGAACACGGCUUGUUGAAUGCAGUAAAGACCAGUUCUCAUUGGGGAACAGGACAAAAUUUUGAACUCUUUACAUGUGAUACUCUCAACAGAUAACUACAGCAGCAAUCCAUCUCCAAUUUCACUGAUAACUUUCUCCACUUUAAACAACAUUUCUUGGAAGGAGGAAUCUUCCAUGUAUCUCUGAAAGAAAACAAAACCAUUAGCAAAGCAGUGCUAUGAAGGGAGCACAAUCUACUUAAGUCAGAAAUAUGCAGUUUUAGAACUGGUUCGAACUCUUUGCGCGAUAACAAGCACCAAAUUACCACCAUAUAAUUGUAGUGAACAGGCAUGCAUACAUAAAAUUAAAGAUGUAAGAAGAUACCGCAAUUUGAGAUUUGAGAUCGAUGUCUUCAGAUGAACUGUGCUGGCUUGCAUCUUUUUUGACCUCAGAGCAGCAGUUGGUCAGAAAUGAAGCAAAGCUGGGAGGCAAGGCACAAGAAGUGCCUUCAGAUUUGUGACUCGGUUGUGUUUCCUGUGACUCUUGCCCAACAUCAUAGUUCAAACUCGAUGGAAGUUGAGGAGAGUAAGUUUGAUCUGGGGCCAUAACACUUGAUUCCUCUUCGCAGGCUCUAGACGAGGGUUCAUUAGUAGACAUGAAAACAGAUCGGGAUGAAAUUUCAGAUGGAGAGUCACCAUUCAGGAGUUCAUUUUCAGAGACUUCCUUCAAGAUAUCCUUCAAAGCAUUUAUGAAUCUCUCUGCUUCAGAAAUCACUGAAAAUCGCAAAGCAAACUUCUGGAUCUCGCCAACAGAGUCUUUAUAACUCACAAAUACAGCUCUGCUACCCCUAGGAGGAUAUCCAGAGACACAUGACACUUGUGGCCAUGUGAAAUGCAGCUUGGAAACAUAGUGCUCUUCAAGCAUCUUGUCGCAGAAACAGACGGAGAGGAUCGCAUCGGAGCUGGAGUGAUAGUUGAGGAGUUGCAUAGACGCGGUUGGGGAGUGAGAGGAGAUCCAGGUACCCCGGUUCGAACGGUAUCGCCGAUUGUUGCGGCGAGGAACGAGGGAGGGACACGUGGAAGGGACGGAGGGAUAGAUGAUAAAGCGAGAGAAUGAGACCUGCCACUGGUCUUUAAUGGUGGAAACUGGUUUCUCUGAUAGCUCACUCGCUAUUAGUGCCAAUGAUCCCGCCAUAUUUUAUCUUUGAAUUCCUUCGAUGAGUCAG
rnacentral:misc_RNA from 1 species